GACGAACGCUGGCGGCGUGCUUAACACAUGCAAGUCGAACGGAAAGGCCCUGCUUUUGUGGGGUGCUCGAGUGGCGAACGGGUGCGUAACACGUGAGUAACCUGCCCUUGACUUUGGGAUAACUUCAGGAAACUGGGGCUAAUACCGGAUAGGAGCUCCUGCUGCAUGGUGGGGGUUGGAAAGUUUCGGCGGUUGGGGAUGGACUCGCGGCUUAUCAGCUUGUUGGUGGGGUAGUGGCUUACCAAGGCUUUGACGGGUAGCCGCCCUGAGAGGGUGACCGGCUUCAUUGGGACUGAGAUACGGCCCAGACUCCUAUGGGAGGCAGCAGUGGGGAAUAUUGCACAAUGGGCCGAAGCCUGAUGCAGCAACGCCGCGUGCGGAAUGACGGCCUUCGGGUUGUAAACCGCUUUCGCCUGUGACGAAGCGUGAGUGACGGUAAUGGGUAAAGAAGCACCGGCUAACUACGUG
rnacentral:rRNA from 1 species